GGCUGCAGGACAAUUAAAUACAGGACGUAGGACGGAAUAGCGACCAGGUUAUUGGCGACCAUAAAAGCGAACCUGAGGAGAGCUUUCAAGAAGGUGUAGCCCACCCGCUGGGCCUGUUCUAAGGUCACAGCCAUCCUCUUCACAGCGGGACCGUCCUCCGGAGAGGCGGCGGAGCGGCGGCGGAAGCGGCGGCGGGGCUGGGGGAGUUGGGCCCGGCGGCGGCGGCAGUCCCGGGCGGCGGCUGGCGGCGGCUCAUGGACCCUGAGGCGGCUGGCCCGGCCGAGGAACACCGCUCGCCCUACGGCUCCCUCAGCGCCGCCGCCUCCUCCUCCCCCUGCUGCUGCUGCUGCUCCGUGCCCGCCGCGAGCAGCGCGAGGCGCCGGGGCUGCAUGCCGGCUGCUGGGGCCGCGCUCCCCGCCCCCGCCGCUGCGUGUCCGCCGUGACCGCCCCGCCGCUGCUCGAGAGCGGGGCUGGCGCUGCGGGAGCGCCGCCCCCCGGCCCCGCGCACAGACACACACACAGACACACACACA
rnacentral:lncRNA from 1 species